CUCCAUCUUACUACUGUCUGUUUCUCUUUAGGGAAUGGCACAGGUGGAGAGUCAAUAUGGGGUGGAGAGUUUGAAGAUGAGUUCCAUCCCAGCCUGCGUCAUGAUCGACCCUACACUCUCAGUAUGGCAAACGCCGGGGCCAAUUCUAAUGGAUCACAGUUCUUCAUCACAGUCGUUCCUACGCCAUGGUUGGACAACAAACAUACAGUGUUUGGUCGAGUGACCAAGGGGAUGGAGGUGGUUCAGACCAUCAGCACGGUGAAGACCAACCCAAAGACAGACAAACCAUACGAUGACAUCAGGAUAGUGAGUGUUACCAUUAAGUAGUGCUGUGAUCUUCUCCCGGAGCAUAGGAGACACUCAUUUGUCAACCCUCAAUGGGGUACACGAAAGGGACGCUGGACAAAAGACACAGCAGGAUAAACAGUCAGAACAACUGGGGUACAUGCAAAAUGUGUGUGUAUAUAUAUAUAUAUAUAUAUAUAUAUAUAUAUAUAC